rnacentral:rRNA from 1 species
UACGUAGGGUGCUAGCGUUGUUCGGAAUCAUUGGGCGUAAAGCGCGUGUAGGUGGUUAAUUAAGUCGGGUGUGAAAUCCCUGGGCUCAACCGAGGAAGUGCAUCCGAAACUAAUUAGCUAGAGAGUGGUAGAGGAAGGUGGAAUUCCUAGUGUAGAGGUGAAAUUCGUAGAUAUUAGGAGGAAUACCGGUGGCGAAGGCGGCCUUCUGGACCAUUUCUGACACUGAGACGCGAAAGCGUGGGGAGCAAACAGG